CCUGGCGGCGGGCCAAUCGCGACCCGAAAACUACGAAACCGCGGUUCUCUCUGUCCUGCGAAAUAUCCGGAUUCGGACGGAGGCGGGGCGCGCCUGAUACUAUGCGUUUCGAUCGGGUCAGUAGACCACGAGGUCGGGCCGCGAGCAUGAAGAAAAGCCAACCGACUAACCUUCAGAGUCCGCGUGCAAAACAAACGCGGCCCGCGAGGGGGCCGGCGGAGACUUUUGUUUCGCUAAUCAUGCGCCGCGUCGCGCGAACGCAGCCGUCGAUCGAGGAGGAAUCUUUCGCGACGACGGCUCGCGCGCGAUCCGUCGAGUCAUCCCGUAGAAGCAAAAUUGUACCUGAGUUAAUUUGAGCUUCUUGUAGAAGAGACAGUGCCAUUCUACGAUCCGUGCUGGCCGUUUUCACUUUGACACUCCAUCCACUUCCUUGUGCACAAUACGGUCAUUCACUUCCGGAAAGAUCAACCGCGAGAACUAGGAUCGAGCCGGGCGGCGAUAACACCACUGCACACCGACGACCUCGAGCAGAAAACAAUUCCACGCGGAGGACGAUCCAGUCGAGUUCUCGGCGAUCGGCACGCGGUUCUGGCACGGGUCCACGUGUGGACCAAGCAGAUCGAGAUUUACCGAACCGAGCGCUGCGGAGAGAAAUACAGAGACUGUGAGCGAGCAACGCAAGACAGACGGGCAAGGCUAGAUGAAACAAGGAAAAUAAAGGUGACGCAAAACGUGUGUAACUACUCUACUAUAAACAACAAACGUCGCCGUCCGACCACGAGGAACGACGACGAUCAACGACGUUGCUCUGGGCUGACCUAACCCAAUACUAACUGACAAUCGAGUCGCGCUCUCUGUAGUCAAACAUCCCCCACCCUGGUGCCGUAGCUAUCCCUACCUAUGCUCUGAAAUCCCCACCAAGCACAGGCUUGGUUUCCUCUACCCUCGCGAGUCGCAACCCCGGAUGCGCGAGUCACAGAACCGAGCCGCGCCGAAGAGGACGAAGCAGCGGCCGAGUGUUUUAGACGGGGACAGAGGACUGUGGGGCGCCAAAGGAUCGCGAGAGAGGGAUGUAACCGCUGCCUUUUGGGGAGACAAAGAUAUACCGAUACAAGCCAGGGAGUAGAGGGGAACCAGUGGCGAGACAGAGAGAAAGAGAAAGGGAGGGAGAGAGAGAGAGCGAGAGAGAGAGAUUGAUCUAGAGGAGACAGGGUGAACCUGCGACCGUGAUCUUUAAGGGUGGAGGGCCUCGAGAGUGUGGCGAAGACCCGGAGGGUAGGGGAUACAACGAUGGACGAGCACCGCCGCAGAAGGCGGGUAAUCGGUGAAACCUGCGAGAGAAAAGAUACCGCGGACGUAGGUGGCUUCGGGGUUGCGGGGCGAACGGGGUCGACGAUACUACGGGAGACAAUGGAUAAGAAACGCGUACACGGUACUGCUGUAUGUUUCAUGAUGCAUGCACGAUUCUAAUAGCCAAGGGAGACUGAAGACGGCAUACGAUUUGUGGACAUCGCAGCCGACGAUACAACCUUGCGUAUCGACCGUUCUUGAAAUAUUGAGAACAAUGUCGAAGUUCCGUGAACGGUGCACGUGCACGGGGAUCGCAAUGGAAGAGAAGCGAUCCGGCGCGACGCGGCACGACGCGACGCAGUGUAUUGAUACUCGUUGGAAAAGCGGAGAAAAUAAAAAAGCCGGGAGAAAUUUUGCGAUUGAACCGUGACUGGUGUAUGUACUUCGCGGCUCGAAAUGUAGAAUGAGAUAUCGCGUAGACGAUAAGAUAAUUAUACGAUAGGAAGGCGAUACACUGCCAGGUAGAACGACGCGGACGCUCGUGCGUCGAUAAUGUCACCUCGAAGAAGUGCAAGUCGAAUUUUUCGACAGGGUAAUUGUACCUUUGUUUCCAAAAAUAAAGCAGUGUCUCUAGAUAAACGAGUA